CUACGGGAGGCUGCAGUGGGGAAUAUUGGACAAUGGGCGCAAGCCUGAUCCAGCAAUACCGCGUGUGUGAAGAAGGCCUGCGGGUUGUAAAGCACUUUCAAUUGUGAAGAAAAGCGAGGGCUUAAUACGCUCUUGUCUUGACGUUAACUUUAGAAGAAGCACCGGCUAACUCUGUGCCAGCAGCCGCGGUAAUACAGAGGGUGCGACGUUAAUCGGAAUUACUGAGCGUGAAAGCGUACGUAGGCGGUUUAGUAAGUCAGAUGUGAAAGCCCUGGGCUCAACCUGGGAACUGCAUUUGAAACUGCUAGACUAGAGUGUGGUAGAGGGAAGUGGAAUUCCGGGUGUAGCGGUGAAAUGCGUAGAUAUCCGGAGGAACACCAGUGGCGAAGGCGACUUCCUGGACCAACACUGACGCUGAGGUACGAAAGCGUGGGUAGCAAACAGGAUUAGAUACCCCUGUAGUC
rnacentral:rRNA from 1 species